GACGAACGCUGGCGGCGUGCUUAAUACAUGCAAGUCGAACGGAGAGGCCCUGUUCUUGUGGGGUGCGGGAGUGGCGCACGGGUGUGUAUCACGCGUGUAACCUGCCCUUGACAUUGGGAUAACUUCAGGAGACACGGGCGAAUACCGGGUAUGAGCUCCUUCUGCAUGAGGGGGGAUGGUGAGAUUCGGCGGUUCGGGACGGACGGGAGGUUUAGCAGCUUGUUGGUGGGGUAGUGGCUUACAAGGGCUUUGACGGGUAGCCGGCCUGGGAGGGUGACCGGCCACAUUGGGACUGGGGUACGGGCCGGAGUGAUACGGGAGGAAGCAGUGGGGAAUAUUGCACAAUGGGCGGAAGCCGGAUGCAGCAAUGCCGGGUGCGGGAUGACGGCCGUCGGGUUGGAACCCGCGUUCGCCUGUGAAGAAGCGUGAGUGACGGUAAUUGGUAAAGAAGCAACGGCUAACUACGUG
rnacentral:rRNA from 1 species